GCUUGAAAAUUCGUACACACAUAUAUGAAGUCAAAUUUAUUAUAUACUUCUUGUAACCCCUUACACAAAAAAUAAGGAAGUAAGCUGGUUUCAAAGGGUACACAUACCAAAACCAACAGCGCCUGUCGAGAAUAACUCCCUCUAGUUAGCCAACCGAAUGAGGUGCCUAAAAGCCGUCUUAACACCUGGCUGACCAACUGCAGUUCGACAUCAUUAGUGGAGCCUGUGAAGCGAAUUAUUUUAAUAAAUCUCAGCCAAUCGAUUCGAAUGACGACGGAGCAUGUGGAUUUGAUUGUUAAUGGCUAAGUUUUGGCCACAAGGAACCGAAGGACCGAAAGACCGAAAGACUGAAAGGCCAAAGAAGCUGCUGCUGUUGCCAUGGCAUCCAUGGCUAUAGCUCCCAGCCGCAGCUUCCAAGCCUCUUAGCCAGUCGACCACCUCUGCUCGUCCUUCGCCGCACUUUCACCCGGCAACUCAACAGAUCCCGCAAAACAUGGGACUUGAGAAGUCGCCUUGGAGGCAUCAACAACCUGUAAAUACCCUUCUAAUUGCUAAGACUUAAUAUGGAUUACGUAUUGGAGAA